rnacentral:lncRNA from 1 species
AGAAUCACUCACCUGGUGUCUGGACUCACUGAGGUUCAGGGUCUUUGUGUCUCAAGCAGAAGGAAUUCAGCAAGAGACAAAGUGAUAGGCAAGAAGGAUUUAUUAAGAUAGGAUACUUGUGAGAGAUACAAGUGAGCAGGCAAAGAUGCUCAGCCUCGAACAUUAGGUGGGCUACAUUUUUAUAAUCCAAGGAAAGUGGAAGGGGAAUAUACCGCCUUCCUCCUCUUUCGUCUAGUAGACGUCAGGCUUACAGCAUUAGCUCCUCCUUCAAGUCCAAUAAGAGAGUAUUUGACUCUCUGAGGUCAAACUAAGACCUUCAUGGUUGUUAUUCAAAUCAGCAAAGGGGUGGUAACCUAUGCUAAAAUAUGUUGGAUCAUCUCAGCUUUCCCUAUCAUGAGGGUCUCCGCCUUUGGAAGGUCAUCUGUCCCUUAAAUGCCUGUCCUUGGUCCCAAGGAUCAUUAUCUUGCUGAACUUGAAUGCAGGCUUCAUUUCAUCUUUCACUUAAUGACCUGAGGCAUAUCUUGUGCUUUUAUUUGUGGUUUUACAGGUAAGCAAGCCUGCUUCAUUCCAUGGAUGUUCUGAUGGCUUUUCUUGAGCAAUUAACAACUUACAGUGGUCUCCCAAAGUUCCCUAGGUUUCCUUCUCUAGCUGUGGUCCCCUACUGGGACUCCUACAACUACCUGUGUAAGGUUCCUACUCCUUCCCUAUCACUAUGAUUAAACAAAUGGACUUAUUUAAAAGCAUGCAGCACAGAGCUUGGUCCAGAGGAGGAGCCGAGUAAAUGCCACCUAAAGAUUCCAUUGUCCCCUUUUGGACUGCAGCCUCCAUGAAAGCAGCGUCUGUAGCAGCUUUGCUGACCCUGGCAUCCUAGUACCCGGCAAAGCCCGGCACAUAUAGGCACUCAAAUAAAUGCGAGCGAGUGAAUGAAGGUGAUCCCAGAGCCCUCUGCCCCUGCUCAGAGAACAAAUCACCUUGGGCUAAAACUGAACAUUGAGAUCUCAGCCCCAAGAAAGCCAAGACCAGCUGUGAUGCUCAAAGCAUAUCUGAGGGCUACAGUUCAAGACUAGACCCAACACUAAUCAUUCAGGGGUUGGCUGAAUGAACAGGCUUGGGGUCAGAUAUGGGGGUUUUGGUAGGGGACCUUAGGCAAGUUAUUUCUUCUCCCUGAGCCCCAGUUUCUCACGCCAUGGGGAGUGAUGGACUAAAUGAGACUGCAGGUGUAAAAUCCUUAACACAAUGCCAGGCACAAAGUAAUUGCUCCGCAGAUAGCUAGUUCUUAUUAUUAGGAUCAUUAAGAAUCAUCAAGAGAGUUCUCCUGUGGCGCAGUGGGUUAAGGAUCUGGCAUCGUCACUGCAAAGCUUAGGUUGCUGCAGUGGCGCAGGUUCUAUCCCUGGCCCACAACUUUCACAUGCCACAGGUGCGGCCAAAAAAAGAAAGAAAAAGAAGAAUCACCAAAAAUGGGUGCUCAGGACGGGUUUGCAUCCCAUUAAGCCAUGAGGAGCAUUGGCCUCUUGUCUCCAUUCCCAUGGGAGCACAAGACUGCCUUCCUGCCCUUUAUGCAAAAAGACAAAGGCAUGUAUGAGGCAGGCUGGAGCAAAGAGCUCUGUAGGAGACAGGGAAGGUGAAAUCGACUUCAUUUUCAUUCAUCUUCCUUGGGCUCUUUCAUCUGACACUGGCAACAGAGCUUUAAGCAUUUGAUAUUGGCUUGUCCUGAUUCAUUACCCAGCCUCUCCCCAUACACCCACCUCUGCUGGCUGACUGGCAACGCUUGGCUCCAGAUGGACCUGAUCAGAACUUAAGGGCUCAGCGCCGCCUGGAAAGCACCUGGGUUGCCGCUCUGCCGCUGCGUGCCUCGCCUUGCCGAGCUGUUUCCUCCCCUGAUUCCCUCUUUCCUCCCAGCCCUCCAGCCCUUCACUGUCCUGUGGCAAGGACCGACGGGUAAUGGCUUUUAAAACACCAAACUGCAUCAAGUACAAGGGCUGCUGCUGCGAGUCCCAUCUUCAGCAAGGAAUUUUCCCCUGUUUGGUUUGGAUGUCCAGUGGAGCAUUAGACAGCAGUUUAAUCAUUAUUACCGGUGCUGCACUGCGACUCUCAGGAGAAGCACUAAACUAGAAUGAAAAGGAACUGACAUAAUUAGUCUGACACAGUUCAAUAGGGAACUAUUACACCAAAGGUAAUGAGCUCCAAUGAUAUGUUAAUGUUAUUGUAAGAAAUUAUGCCCGUGCAACAAAGUGGCUUUCAGGUGGGUGGGGGCGGAGGGGGGGAGAAUUUUCCCAGGCAAUAGGCUAAGGGACAAAGAAAGGAAAAGGCUCACAAAAGCUCCUUUUCUUUCUCCCCGACUUUUCUCUGGUCCCUGGGGACAGAGGAUCUGUUAUGGGCCCUGCAGGAUGCGGCAGGGGCCACAGAGGCAGUGCUGCUGGUGCUGUCGAUAUGCACAAGUGGCUGGAUAUUUGUUCAACUAGGAAAAUAAAAAGCUCAAGAAAAUUACUCUGAGCACUAAAAAUCGAUGGCGGGAUAAUGUAAGAACAGUCCCUUAGAGUUGUUCAACGCUACACGGUUUACCACGUAGUUUCACGGCCCUCAGGAGAAGUAAGGGUACAGUCAGAAGACAAGGACUCUGCCAUGUACUACUAAAUCACAGCCCUCGUCAAUUAACUUAGCAUCUGUGGGCCUCAGUCUCCUCGCCUCCAACAUGGGAACAAGGAUGCCUACAUUCCAAGUUCCCUGGUGGCCUAGUGGUUAAGGAUCCAGCAUCGUCCCUGAUGUGGCUCAGGUUUGAUCCCUGGCCGGGGAAUUUCCACAUGCCAUGGGCACAGCCAAAAAAAAAAAAAGGAUACCUACCUUCAAAGUUGAAAUACUGGCAUUCCUGUUGAGGUUCAGUGUGUUAAGAACCCGACUAGUAUCCGUGAGGGUGCAGGUUCAAUCCCUGGCCUUGCUCCGUGGGUUAAGGAUCCAGCGUUGCCACAAGCUGUAGUGUAGGUUGCAGAUGCAGUUCAAAUCCUGUAUUGCUGUGGCUGCGAUAUAGGCCAUCAGCUGCUCCAAUUCAACCCCUAAUCUGGCAAUUUCCAUAUGCCGCAGGUGUGGCCCUAAAAAGAAAAAAAAGAAAAAAAGUUGAAAUCCUGCUUGUGAAGCUCCCAUUACACAGCAGGCACAUGAUAAAAUGAAGUUAAUACUGUGCCCAUGAGUUGUCUGUAUAUCUGGGCAAGGUUUACAAAGCCCAACUCUUGAUGAGUAUAAAACAUUCACUAGAAAUUACGGAUUAACAUUCAGCCUCAGAAGAGGGAACAUAAACAGCCUUGUCCCAAACCAGCAAAUGCCGACAUUUCCAAAACCUAAAAUAGUGAAUUAACCCCCAUCUUUCGUGUUGACUGGCAUCUUGGCUAAAGUUGGUGUGACACCUGUUAGGAUGGCUCUUAUCCUAAAGACAAAAGAAGCAAGCGUUGGCCAGGAUGUGGAAGAGGGACCCCUUAUGCACUGUGGGAGGGAAUGUAAAUUGGUACAGUCUUUAUGGAAAACAGCAUGGGGACUCCUCAAAAAAUUAAAAAUAGAACUAUCGUAUGAUCCAGAAAUUCCACAUCUGAGUAUAGAACCAAAGGAAAUAAAACCCCUAUCUCAAAAAAGAUAACUGUACUCCCACGUUCACUACAGUAUUACUCAUAAUAGCCAAAACAUAGAGACAACCUGUGUCCAUCAACAGAUAAAGAAAAUGUGGGAGUUCCCUCUGUGGUUGAGCGGCUUAAGAACCCUACACAGUUUCUAAGAGAAUUCGAGUUCCAUGCCUGGCCUCACUCAGUGGGUUGCCACAAACUGCAGUGCAGGUCACAGAUGCAGCUUGGAUCUGGCAAUGCUGUGGCUGUGGGAGAGGCUGGCAGCUGCAGUUCUGGUUUGACCCCUGGCCAGAGACGGAACCCGCAACGUCACGGACACUAGUUGGAUUCUUAACCCGCUGAGCCACAGUGGAAACUCCCAGGGCACCUGCUAUUAAGUUUCCUCUUUGCCCCUCAACUACCUGGGGGUCCCUACAGAUGCCUUCCCUUCUCUGGGCCUCAGUCUCUGCACCUGUAGUGAGGGUGCUGAACUGUGCACACACUGAGAUCCCUUCCAGCUCUGACACUCGGAGACCCUAAGGAGCUGGGAGGACAGGGAGAAGGGACAACAGAGGCCCAGGGUAUGUGGCCUUUGUCCAUCCUGCCUUCCCUCCUCUCUGGCUCUGGCUGGGGAGGUGGAGCCCCAGCUGCUCCAGGGAGACCAGCGUCCAUUUGUUCCCUGCAGAUCCCCCAGCCAGGUCGAGCUGCUGAUAGAAUUUCAGAUGCUUAGUCAUACUUUUUUGAGUAAAUAUCAUGGUAAAAAGACAUGACAUUUCCGGGGCCGGUCUUCGGCAUUAAUAAAAGAUUCCAAGAACAGGGUGACCUUUUCACAAAGGAUUUGUAAAUGCCAAAAACUACAUAAAACCUCUCUUUCUGAGGCAGACAGGAUUGUCACAGCUCAGCAUUUAUUCCUCACAUGUGAGGCCAGCUCCUUUUUUCUCCCAGAUCCGUGUGCUGGCUGAUGAGAAGCUGUGGGGGGGGGGGGGGGGGGGGGGGGGGGGGGGGGGGGAGGGGAGGAGGAGGAGGGAGGAGAGGACGAAGAGGUGAGAAUGGAAAAGGAGAAGAGAGAAGAGGAAGAGCAGAGAGCAGGGCAGGACCCACCCUGGAUCAGUGUGGGCCCUUGUGGGACCUCUAGGACACUUUGUCCCAUUGGGAGGGAAGCAC